rnacentral:rRNA from 1 species
AGAGUUUGAUCCUGGCUCAGGACGAACGCUGGCGGCGCGCUUAACACAUGCAAGUCGAACGGUGAACCGGGCUUCGGCCCGGGGAUCAGUGGCGAACGGGUGCGUAACACGUGGGCAACCUGCCCCUCACUCUGGGAUAACCCCGGGAAACCGGAGCUAAUACCGGAUACUCCGUGCGAGCCGCAUGGCUCGAACGGGAAAGGUCCGCCGGUGAGGGAUGGGCCUGCGGCCUAUCAGCUUGUUGGUGAGGUAACGGCCCACCAAGGCUUCGACGGGUAGCUGGUCUGAGAGGACGACCAGCCACACUGGGACUGAGAUACGGCCCAGACUCCUACGGGAGGCAGCAGUGGGGAAUCUUGCGCAAUGGGCGAAAGCCUGACGCAGCGACGCCGCGUGGGGGAUGACGGCCCUCGGGUUGUAAACCCCUUUCGGCAGGGACGAAGCGAUCGUGACGGUACCUGCAGAAGAAGCCUCGGCUAACUACGUGCCAGCAGCCGCGGUAAU